UGCUGUUCUGGCGGGGAUUCCGGCGGAGCGUCCGUUGUCGGCGGUCGUGCACACGGCCGGUGUUCUGGACGACGGGGUGCUGGGUUCCCUGACGGCGG
rnacentral:tRNA from 1 species